CGGAGGAGGAGGAGGGGGGGACAAGAUGGCGGCGGGCAUCGCCUGCGGGCCGGCGGGAAAAGGCCCUCCGCGGGGUCCUGCUCUUGAAGGAGGGCCUGGUGCGCCGCUCUGGCGUCCUCUCAGCGCCUCGAGCUGCGGUUGCACAGUUCCAUUAUAAGUAUUAGUAAUGGGCUCAUGGUGUAAAAACCUUUCUGCGUGUUAUCAGAUUUUGGAGUUAGAAGUUAGGUGAAUCAAAACGCGGAGUGCUUCCUAAUAAUUAAGUUUAGUAUGUCUUGGUAAAAAUGAAUUUGAUCUCUUUGGGACUGAUAAUUAAACCUUGAAGCAGGCCGGAGUGCUAGAAAUCUUUCGUGUGUUUGUACAUCACCUUCCAUCAGGGCCACAAAGCAUCCAUCUCCUGUGAGCAGGGCUUUGUGCUGACUGCUGUGCCUUGGUGGUAGGCACUAAGAAGUCUGUGGGUGAGGCACAAUCUGUGGAGUCAUCUUGCUGUCUGUCAGGUGCUCCUGCCCUGCAGAGAGCUGCAAAAAGAUAUUUGCUGAAUCACCCUGGCUUAAUUUAACACGCAGUCUAGCAUAAGGAGAGCUUGGAGAACCUACACUGAGCACUACAAUGUCAGCCUCUCCUGCCCUUGGGUGGGAAUUAAUGGAAACUGCUUUUGCUUAGUGACGUUCACAACCCAAUUGGAGAGAUAAGGCUAAGUUUGUCAACCAUUUUUUAGGAAGAGCUUUGAUCGCUGUCAAGUGAAGCCUUAAUAAUAGCUAAUGUGCCUCUUAAUUAAUUUGUCUCAAGGGAUGAGUACUAUGCAUGUGGUACUGGGAUCCUGCAUAGAAAUUGCCCUGUGAAAUCACUAAGAGGAGUAAAAAUUCCGCAUCUGUGUAGUCGGAAUUUCUCAAUCAAAGUAAGAAAUAAAGUUGGUCUGAAGCCACCCUGAGAUGUAUAAGUAUAGCUUAAAAUGUAAGAAAAGAAUCUGAAGGGAUACAUGCAGCAGAGAUUUCCUUAUUCACAUGGUGAUUUCCUGGAGCAGUGAAAAGCAAAUACAAACAUUAGGAUAAAAAGAUCAAAGAGAGAAACUUAAAUAUAAUUAAGUUACACUUAAGGCACUCGUUAGUUUAAAGUUUUGGUAAAGACCAAUGGCAACCAAACUAGAUAGAAAAGUCAAUGAAUUGUUCCACCAGUAUCUGAACAAACUGAGUGAUGGAGGAACUUGUUCUUCUUAGUGCGGCAGUAUUCACAUUUGGCAUUGAUGUAAAUAUUCAAGAUAGAAAGGCCAAAAAGCAUAUUGUGAGCAAAAGUCAGAAACAAAUUUCCUGCUGCCAAGCUUGGCCUUUUGCCAAGAGUGCAAUUAAAAACACCACCUUGCCUUGCCAUCUCCGAAUAAAUUCUUUGACGUGUAGGGAAUACAAAGCUCCGCACUGUGCAGACCAACAUGGGCUGUAUGUUCUAGAAAGUGCUUUAAAAAAAAUAUCCAAAACUUUGCUAUUGGGAUUUUUGUUUUCCCAGCACUUAGAAAAGAAUAUGCCGUAUUGCUUCACCAAGUGUGUGGGUAGGCAUACAUGUACGCUUUAAAACAAAAAACCAAAAUACCCUGGAAUCUGUCCUUUCCCUUUCCUUGGCUGAGACAGGUGACCAGGACAAUGAAUGCAGACUAUUCUGUUGCAUUCUCCUGGUUGCCAAGUCACCCUCGCUAAGGAACUGCAAUGGAAUUUGCUUAAGUGACACCUUGACAGAUUGCCAGGGAAAAGGAGUUGUGCUGUGCGUUUUAGCGAUUGCAUGGAUCAGUCUGCACACCUAUGCUGAAAAGGUUGUCUUAAUGGGCACGUAUCUUAGCCUGGAGGAUUCUUUGUUUGCUAACAAGCUUUCCUUCAGCUUGCUGUUAUUUCUCUCUAUAUUGUGGCUGCAGAGAUAAAGUAACUGAUAUGGAAUUUGAUUUUUUGGUUGCAAAUUCUUAAGUCUGUUUUUCUGACUCCGAGCCAAGGUCGUUGUGUUUAUUAUCUUGCUGCUUUUGGAGAAAGGAACUCUGUAUUUGUGCAAAGCUCUCAUUUUCUUUGGAGAGAAUGAAGUCAUCUCCUGUUUGUGUAGUAAGAUAAAAUAUUUUAGCAGCUUCUUUACAGAACAAGUUGCCAAUUUGUGUGAUUUUUUUUUUUCUUGAAAAAUAGAAAAUCUCUAUGAAGCAGAUAUUUUCCUUGCUGAUAAUGCUGACUUUCCAAGGGCAGCUGAAACAUAGAAGAAAGAGAAAAAAUCCUAAAGGGACCAAAGAUUUGUGUAUGGGAAGAAGAGUUUGAGUAUUUGAAGAUUUUGAGGGCUUUACUGAAAAGAAAAAGGCAAUUUUGAAAAGAACUAGAUGGCAAAACACUACACAAAGCAGGGAGGGCAAGCAGCUAUGUGGAAGAACAAGCAAACUGAAGGUGAAGGAAACUGAAGGUGAGCCCAAAGAGGAGAGGAUUUCAAAGUCUCUGAUUCUUGUAAUAUCUGUGAGAAGAAUCCCAUUGAUUUUAAGAGACUUGAUUUUGUACAGAGAUGAUUCCAAGACAGGAAUGCUGUUUCUCCUGUGCCAGAAAAUAAGGAUGACUUCAGCAGCACUGAUAUUUCAGAUAAACUGAGGGGACUGGAAAGAAUCUUUAAGACAACAAUAAAAAAUCAGAACACAAGAAACACAUAAGCUAAAUACUGUUACAGUCAGAGUAAAAUCUUAAUGAGGCAAUAAAUGCAGCAGAGACCCUUAUUUGAGCCGUGGGGACAUGAGUAACUGUGGAUUAAAAAAAUCCAGGAAGGAAGCACUGCGUGCACGUGGGAAGAAAGAAAACAGAAUUCUCAGAAAAUACUGAGUCUGAAGUACUCCUAAGUGCAAGGAGGUGACCCAGAAACAAAGUGAAGCAACUGUGAAGGAAAAACAGCAUUUAAAAUGAAUUCUUCUACAUUGAUGUAGCAGAUGAAUCAUGGAAUUGGAUGAGAUCCUACUAUGAACACAGCAGGAGCAACCAGAGCCAAGUGACCAGUACAGCUCCUUAUCACAGGAUGGAGGAGGGGAGCAGAAUAGUGUCUGUUUCCAUCAGUUGGGAUGGAUGGUGAGUUUGUACCAGUGUAGUCCUUGCCUCGAAACAAGGUGACAGAUCUGUAAACUAAUGCAUGUUCCUAGGCACAGAUCUGCAGAGUGUUGCUUUGUAAUGGAAGGGCCAAAGGGGAUCCACGUGCAAUGAAAAAACCCAUGAGAUGGUUAACAGUUUGACAGUAUUGCUCCACAGUGCAAG